UGAAUUCCCUCUUCAAGUGCAUAGACAACCUGUAAUCCUGAACUCCUUGACAGUGACUGCCCAUUUCUAGACUCAUCUCUACCGUUUCAGAUGUCCCAGACCUGCACCUUCACCUUGAAAACACUCUAUUUUGGUACCGGAAAAUCUGAAGCUGUCAGCAGAGUGGAAUUAGAAAGACGACACAUCUUGUGUUAGUUUGGUGGAAGUUUUUGGCAUGGUCACAGGACUACACAGUGCUCUCACUUGAAAAGGAACAACUGCCUUUGCCCAGCUUUAUAUUCUUCAGUUUUCCUGCAUCUUCACCUUUUUACCCAUCAUGACACAUGAAUUUGAG